AUGGCGGGAAAUUAAGCACCACGUCGUGACCGACAGUGAUCCCUCAAACUUGUAUCGAUAAUGCCGUUUUUUUCUUCUUUCUUUUGCUUUAGCGAUUACGUCUUGACUUCGUUUAUAAGUUUACUCGGUAAAAACUAGUGCAGCUUGUCGUGACGUGUGGGUCAGCGUGAACGUUGUCUCAAACCAGUUUUAAUUGAGUGACAAACAAGCAAAUAGUUUGGCCGUAAUACCAGUUGCAACGAAUAUGACGAGUUUGCAGGAGAUAAUCGUCAUUCUGAGCGAUUUGAAGCAAAGCUUAAUUGCAUUUCAUGGAGUCAAUCCUGUUUAUCCACCACCCAACAAGAGUGAAACAAUGGCACGAGUUGAAGAAUACAUCAAACUAGUUGUGGCUGCCAUAAGUCGAGGGGACUGGCCUUUGCAGCUACCAAUUCAUGGCAGUGACAAGAUGAUGACUUGGAAAGCCGCCAAUCAACGACGUAAAUGUUUGUUACUCUUCCAUCUGCUCGCCAAAUCACAUGCACUUUUACGCACCAAUACCACAUCUACCAAACGUGACAUCUAUUAUGAAGACGUUUCGUUAUGGGGUAACCAACCGGUGCUGGACAGCACAGUAACCCAGAUGACAAGACUGCUGAAUAUUCCGCGACGCUGUCUCAAUAUCGGUGCCACUUCGAAAGGUUUGGUGGCAGGUUCUCUGAACUUUCUCGAUGGAGAUGGCAAGCUCGUUGAUUGCCAAUCGCCAACUGGGAUUUUGAUACCGAACGACGUGGAAAAACUUUCUCAAUUCCGAAGCAAAGCUUUCCACAUCUUGCUAGUUGAGAAAGACAGCACGUUCCAGAAAUUGAUUGACGAUAAGAUCGAAUCCUUCAUCGGCGAAUGUAUUCUCAUCACGGGAAAAGGUUAUCCGGAUGUCAACACUCGUCGUUUCCUGCGUCGCUUGUGGGACGAGUUGCAACUACCCGCGUUGGCUUUGGUGGAUGCAGAUCCGCACGGAAUUUCCAUCCUCGCUGUUUAUCGAUUCGGAAGUCAAAAUUUAGAAGAUAUUGAACAUUUGUCGACUCCCCAACUGAGAUUUAUCGGCCUCCAGCCAAGCGAUAUUGAGCCUUUACACAUCCCUGACGAAGCUAAGUUGCCACUAACUCAACGCGAUCGAUCGCUCAUCGACUCACUGACCCAACGUCCUUCCGUAACCGAAAAUCAACUUCUCCACGAACAGCUGACUGUAUUGCGCCGAUUGAAUUGCAAGGUUGAAAUCCAGGGUCUGACGAAAAUCCACCCGCAGUUUCUCUCUCGUACCUACUUACCGGCCAAGAUCCAGUCCAAGUCUUGGAUUUAGAAAGAAAACCGUAAACCGACAUACAUUUUUUGUUCCUCCCCUCUUCAGUUUUUACUGUUCCAAAGAUAAAUAAAAGAGACGUCGUCAUUUCUGAGAUUUACAUCUGCCAUUCAACGGCGUCUUUAUCGACCGCAGUGAUUGACAUGGCAGCAAUAACGCCGAAAGCAAUAAAAACAAACUUAAUCAAACAGAGUAUGGAUGGUUGAUGUACGAGCACGAGCCUGACGUACACUCGUAAAACGCAACCCUUUUUUUUUUUUGGUUGUUGUUGUCUACAUACUAGCCCAACGUAGCAGUGGGAGGCUAUUACUUGGUCGAACAUUAACAUCCAAAGAGAUUUGUUUCUCGAUUUAAGGCGAUUGUGAUCUUGGGCCAACAGAAAAGAUAUUACGGGCGGAAGGCAGACAUCUCUCUCCCUUUUUGUUUCCGUAAGAAUAGAAAUAGGGAGGCGAGGAGUUUCGUGGCCCUUUGGUGCGUAUUUCCAUUGUUCCAGUCGAUAGAGGACGUUCAAGUGGACAACUAGUGAGAACAAAAAAAUGAAAGGGGGGAGGACUACUGCCACUCGAUCCAAAGUUCCCAUAGUGUGUUCAUCCCUACUAUUCCAUAAACAUCAAAAAAUAGAUGUACGGAGGAAGGACGAGUUAUCCUUCAUAGAGGAAAAGGAAAAAGAAUUUCCUUUUGGUCGUCGGAUAAGAAUCUCGGUAGGAAUUGGCCCUUUUUUUUUUUGUCCUUCGGCAGGAAUCCAUCCGCACGUUAAGCUAUACACUUCUAUAAUAAUCCUGCUUUUGCCCUUUCCGCAAAAAGAAAUAUUCUUUUACUUCAGUCAGAGCUCACUGCGAUCCUGCUUGUUUAUCUUUUAUCAGCUGCAACGCCCAUUCGAGUAGACACACACACACACGCGUAUUAUAAUAUAAUUCCUAUCGAUUGGGAUGACUUGUUUAGCUGAGUGAGUGUAGUUACUAAAUAAGAGGAUACAUCGAGUCUUCCGGCCUGAGUCUGCAGAUAUUUUUGGGUGGCAUCCUUUGAAAUAGGGAGCCUCCCCUGCGGUGCCAUUAAAUAUUCAUCAUUAUUGCAAGUUUCCAAGACCGUAAUGGUUUCCCUUUUUAUUUUGCGCAUCAACUGUAUAGGACGAAGAGCAGAACUUGUUGGUGACAUUAAAAUAAUGCGCCUCUCUGGUUUUUUUUAGAUCCCUUUUUGAUUGCCUCUUCCGCCUUAAAUUGUCGGAAAACGUCAGUUAUUGAGAUUUAUAGUGCCUUUUAUUUUUUUCUAACGUUCUCCUCGCGAUUGGUAUCCUUCAUCGUUUAUUCAAAGAUGCCCAUUUCGUAUGUAACGCUAGCGGAGCGACUAAAUGAAUAACUAAGACUUUGAGUGCCACUGCAUGUUUCAUGGAAAUGAGGUGAUAUACUUGUCACGGCUGUCCAUUCUGUGAAACUGAAGGAAAAGGACGAGCAAUAUUUGUAUAUGUAUGAAACUGUUGGCACACGGGGAGGGGGCGACGCUUGCGCCGUUGCUUACAAAGAAAAGGACGUAAGGCUAAACAGAAGGGGCCAACUCACGAAGACUCGGUGCGCAACGGGACACUAUAUACGUAGCCUUCAGUUUCGGCUUCCAGUUGAGAAAGGAAGCUGAGCCGCGUGCAGCACCAUGAGAUCUCUAGUUUCUUGUUACUAUCGUUUAAAUCGACGGUUACUCGUAAGAUAGUUUGGCUUCUAGCGGACGUGAUGUGAAACUUUUAUACGGGAAGUAAGGGAGGGGGGAGGGGAGGACAUUCGCGGUGGCCGAGUGUCAACAGACACAACGAAUAGCGUCUGUCAAUCGUUAACACGUACAGGAGGCCCGGAAUCAACAAGUGAUUGCUAGACACCAGAGAUUCUGCUAUUUGUUGAAGAAGGAAAUAAGUUAGUGAUUUGCAGACCGACAACCGAGUUUAUUGGUUGAUCGAUCGGCCGAAUCGAUUACCGGACGAGACCAGUCAACAGCUGUGCAGUAAAACUGUUUCUCGCGCUGUGUUGCAAUUGUUGUAUCGCAUGUCUGCCAAGAAAAGCGGCUGCGUUUCUACAUUCGUGGGACUUUAUAUUGACAAAGUUCGCACGUAAAUGGUGGACUAUCCUCUA
rnacentral:misc_RNA from 1 species